AACUCUUUCACAAGUGAUCUUUGUACAUUCAAUAUUGAUUCAUAUAAGGGGCGGUUUCGUCGUACGACUCCCCGUAGUAAGGACUGACUAUUAGGCUACGUGAUAGUGAAUAAGUAUCGAAAGCAUGUAUAAGCCGACAUGUCCGCGUAGGCCUUUCGGUAGCCAAGUAGAAUAAGAAACAUAUAAACAAAGCAAUAGAACGUUCUUUGUGUAGAUUACUAUAAAAAUAUCAAAGUAUACGCUAUAUCCAGACUGUGCAACUUCUACUGCAUGCGUUUACGCUUUCAAGAAAAUCACAUCGUUUUACCAUCCAUUUCUACACCAAUAAGUUAUCGGUAUCAUCAAAUAUCCAAGCCGUAACCACUUGGACUGCUCCUUCAACGGAAUCAUUUGCCAUUAACAUUGGCCGUAAUUCAAAGAACAACACAAAAAUCAACAACCAAAAUUAGCUCCUUUGUAUCACCCCGAAAAUGUUGCAACAGUAAACCACGUCACUACCUUCCUCGAUAAGCAGCUUACGAUGAAACCGGCUUCAGGAGAAGAAGCACUUUUAGUGUACGCCUAAGGCAGGAAAACACAGCAGCUCAAACCAAAACGCGGCAAUCAGCGGUGUCCCUGCUGAUGAGCUUUGAACCAGUGCGACAGAUUAGAAAUCCGUCUAAUUUCCGCGCCCUUGCUCCACGCGUAUGACCGAUGAAUGGCUGAGUGAAUAUUCAAAUUUCGUGCCUCAAAGUGUUAUCAUUUGCGGACAUUUUUUUCUGGAUUUGCUCUCUACUUUAAAAGAUGCCUUGUCCCUGAGCCAAGAAACUUUUUCUCGCCAAGCCAAUGUUUACUCAACCGUCCGACUUUGGUAUUCCACUUUUUGGAGAUGCCAUUGAAUCGGUUUGGUUAAAUUAGCUAUUUCGAAUCUUCUCAAACUCACUGAACCACAACGAAACGAAGGAGGAGAAGAGCAGCCACUCACCCACACUACCAAUGGAUUUUUGGACCAGAAAAGUUUGUUCCGAUCAUCGUCCUUUUUAGCCCUUUUCUCCCUACACUUGGAAUGGCAAUGAAUCAAUGCAAAUAAUGCUCAACAGUGACCACAGUCCUUCUUCCACGAGACUGUUCGUUCUACGGUGCUGCUAAAUGGUUCCUUCAUAAAUAUUUCACAGCACCUAACCUUUAAGAAACCUCCACUAUUCUAGUUCCAUCAGCUCUUUUGAUGCAUUUCCGCAGCACUCAAGCUAGAGGCAUACGGGGAACAUAAAAAGAAAACAAUCGCCCACAGAAAAAGAGACCCCGAACCUCGUGGGAAGAAAAAGUAUUUACAUGCUUACGUCGUAUAUGGAGAGAAAUUUCAGCUCCAGCUGCUUCCCGUCAAUUGAAACGUCGAAGUUGCUGAUUUAUGGGUGUGCUUUGUGAGUCAUACGAUAACUCAAAGAAAGCAAAACUCUUGGUCCACCGUACCCCGAUUCCCGGGCAGGAAUGCUACAACAUUGGCCAAGAAAAUGGCCACGGCGGGACAACGGGCAUCUCAGAAAACAAUAUUCCGCCCUGUUUCGAAAGAAAUGUACGGUGUAAGUAUAUUUCUUGGAUGAAUAGUUUAGGUUGCAAUAAAUUUGCCCCCUAUUUUGUCGUACCGUGCCGUUUCUUAUCUAUGGCAAAGAUUCUUCGGGGGCUAUUUUAUGAAGCAUUUGGAACAGCCGCUUUCACCCACCCUUUUGCUACCCUUUGCCUGUUCGACACAUCAUGUUCGUUUCAGUGUAAGAUGUGUUAGAUAUAUAGUUUGUUAAGUAAGAAGAGCAAAAAAGGCAGUCUUUCUCACGCUAUACUCCACUUACGUAGACCUUUAAGAGGAUUUCGCGUAAGAUACUGGUUGAUAAGUACAGUAUUCAUUUAAAUUGAAUUCGGAGCUCUAAACAGAGGCGCAUUCGCGUGACGACACAUAGAAAACAAAAGGAAAAAAAUUGAUGCAAUGAAUCCCUAAUGAAAUAAGUAGGAAACAUAAAUCGGAACAUAAAAUAGAUAAUUGAUAAAAUAGACAGUAUCAAAUGUAUGUUUUUGUUGAUUCUUUCUGCAGUUUUAUGUUUCAAUUUACAUGAUAUUGAUCACUUAAGAUUGAAUUCUGUUGUUGUACACAAGCUGCAAAGACUGUAAUAGGCUCUUUCUUUCAUCCACAGUUAAUUAUUCCAAUUAAUUCCAUUAUUCCAAUAUCCACAGUUAUUUCUAUUAAGAGAUGCUAUGAAACUACUAGAUGAUCUCCGGGUUUAACGAAACCCCAGGUACAAUCGUCCAUGGCGCCCUCUGCAGAUAUACAUUGGAGCUAUAUGGUCAAAUCGAUCCUUGCUAUUUAUUAACACUGAGCAAGUUUCGAAUGGAUCGUGCUCCCAUACGUAGGACUGAUUAUCCUACUAUAUGUAAUCAAUAAGUCACUGAAGCUCUAACUAAGAGAUGAAGAAAAAGAGCGUUUUUCCCUCUGAUAUGUGCAAUUCCAGUCAUAUUUGAUUCAAGUUUAUCAGAUCAGAUUUUGAGAGUGGUAACAUAAUUAAAUAAUAUUCACCGAUUCUAAACAUUUAGAUAACAUACAUACAUUUCUGGGAUUUGUUUUAACAUAUCAUUUGACGUUGGGUACAUACAGCUUAAUAUAUCCGCCUGUUAUAAUAAAAAAAAUAAAAUAAAAUUAUUUGACCAAACAAUCAUCUUAUUACAUUCACUUUAACGCUGCCUUUAUUUGGUCUCCAACAUGUGGUCCGUAAACAGACGUGGACUGCAAAUGAAUUGUACUUUUUUUUUCAGAAAAACUUUUUACGUAUGUUACAAUUUGAUUUUGAACACAUUUUAAUUUAUCAAAUCAGCUUUAGAGAACUAAGUCUACAAAAUAUAUUUACUCAAUAUCAGUGGGCCGCUGUAAAUAUAUAUAAAAAGCUAACUGAUCCGUGAUCCUAAAAAGGUUGAAGUUCACUACUUCAAACAGUCGAAAGCUUGGGCAAUCUUAAGAGAGAAUACAUAUUUUUAAUAGGAAAGACAUUACUUAAAGUAAGGUUCUGCAAGGAAUAAGAAAUAUGCUUGGUAAGUCCUACCCAAGGCCCUGCUUAAGCGUUCACUGCACCUGAACCUACCGCGUACGUUAAGACGCGACCAUCACUAGCCACUCUAGUACUUUAAAUUUAUGCUUAACCAACCUCACCUACACAGUAUUAGUAAAGUCGGAGUAGAAGCGACCUGGGAUGAACGAAAAAACCAACCCAAGUACCAAGUGCUGCAAGAUAAUGUGCAGGAAAGUAGUUCGCUUUCGCGUUUUAUCAUUUGUCUUGCUGGUGUCUUCAUUCGCGCGCCUUCUUGCGCUAAUGGUGCCUUAAGUUACGCUUUUCCGCGCGACUAACCUCGGUGCGUUUUGCAGUGAGGAGGAGGGAGGGGGGAGGGGGCACGGGGAAGAGACACGGGCGCACAAUACCACUGCAAAAGUGCGCGCGCGAAAAGCUUGCGAAUCGCGUAUAAAUAAUGAUUUACCGAAGGACUUUCCUUCGCGGCUUCGGGAGAAGCAGGGGGCGGGUGUGAUUGCCCGACCGAACGGCGGAGGUGCCGGCGGUAGCAAACAAGUGUUUGAUUUAUGGGCGAACGAGUCCAACUAGUUCAAGUGCAAGCAAAACAACCCCUUCUUGUUGCGCCAUCAUCUCGCGCACCGCGUCCAGUGCUACGAGAGAUGUCUUUAUGCUUCCUCGCUCUACCAUUUCCGUGUCUCGCAAUGUCCGGAUGCAAAGAAGGAUGCUGCGACAAAACAUAACUCGCCCCAAGAACACUUCUCUGCGCCAUAUCUUCCUUUUUUCCAGCUCUCCAGCCGGCCCAGGACGGUGCUGUGCUUUGGUUCACCUUGUCCAUCUGGCAAAACCCUCCCACCAGUAACACUGCCAACCGGAAAAUGUCGUUUCAAAUGAAUUUACUCGCAUUAUUUGAAUGAGAAAUAAUGGUGCUUAUAGAGACGGUUGGAUUACUUACUGUAGCCCCCUUCUACCUGCGUUCCCUCUGGGACGACGGUACGGAAAGGCGUCUUAAGGAAUGAUUUCCUUGGAGUACCGACUUAGCCGGGGUUUUGGUCGUUCACUUCUUCUCGACCAGCACUCGGUCUUCGAACGUCCUAGAGCUCGUUGGGGCCCGAUGCAGGGCCCUAUUUUAAUGUUUAUCUCUCUUCUGCUUUGUGAUAAUAUUUCCACUAUCGCUAAUCAUGAUUUAAAAGAAGAAGAAAACGAUUUUUUUACUCUUUAUGCUUAUUGUUGGGAACUAAAACCAAGGCGGAUUAAAUUUCUUGCCAAAUACGAUUUAUUGUACUAUUACGCGCCAAAAAAUUUGUCCGUUUUUCCGCGAUUGGUUUAGAAAAAAAAGCUCGUUCCUAUCUUGCGGCCCUUUUUAACGCUUUUUUUCUGCUACGCUUCGUGCCUUGUUCGUGUACUGGUCGCUCGUUUUAAAACGUCCCGUUUAUGACAGGUAGUUGGAACGCGAGAUUCCAACACUUAUUUAAAAGGUUAUGCUAAUCGUUAUAAUGUUGCUUAAACUAAUUGCCAAAAAAGAUGUAUAAAGAUGUAUUUGAUGACUUGCAAUUAUGUUAACAUGUACAUUUGUUUAACAUUAAAAAUCCGAUACAAUGCUGUAUUUAAAUUGCAUUGAUGUUAGCGCAAACAUUCGUUAAUACAAAUUGUUACUUGACAAAUACAAGCUACGAUAAUAAAUCACAUCUAUGUUUGCAUCAGCUCUGAGCGUGGCCAAAGAACUUUUAGUUGAAGGUUUUCAUCUUUGUGUCAUUUUAAUGAUGUUAAUGAAGCCGAUUUAACACGACCCAGCACACCUAGACAAUUAACGAUCUUCUGCGUUCUGUCUUAUGUUGACACUGGCAGAGACUAGGAUGUUUUUGCUCUUUAUCCUAAUUAUGAAACUCAAAUAUUUGUUUAAAAAAUUUAAAUGAAUGAGACAUGUACUUGUGCAUGUGCAACAUCGUAACAUUAUGUGAAGCGUCGAAUACACAUCCUAGGUAAAGCAGUUCAACCCCAUCAUUAUUACAUUACAAAAAAAGUAGAUACAAAACAGUGGCUUAUAAGCAGCAUUAUCGUUAUGCUGUGGGUGGUUCACAAUAUCCAUUCACUCAGUUAUUGCUGCAGCAAAUUAAACCCGCUUCUGAUGCAAAGAUCAUGCGAUGAUAUAGCCAUGAAUGCCUGGUUGAAAAAUGUGCAAUUAAUCCAAGUUUGCUAUGCUAUGAAAGCAGCAGCGUUAAUUUUUCCACAUGCAAGAUCUGAAACUUUCCUUAUAAAAUGAAAAAAGUCACAUCCUGAGCUAAAUAUCUGUUUAAUCCUACGCAUUAAUAGAUGGAUAGGAUCGAGAAAGAGCAUAUGAUUUUAUAUUUAGCAUAUGAUAGAUUAUUUUCAACAUGUCUCGAACUAGAUUGAGUUUGAUAGUUCUUUGUGAUGUGUUGAAAAUCGUAUGCAAGCACUGAGAUUUCAUUAUGAAGUAAAUAAACCAUAUGAAAGCUGUUGAAAGACAUCUUGGAGGUGAUUUUCAACACGUCUCAAGCUGUAUUGAGUUUGACAGUUCUAUGUGAUGUGUUGAAAACCAUGUGUAAAAACUGAUAUUUUAUUCCUUGUCAUUUGACAGCUAUUGAAAAGCAUCUUGGAGGGGAUGAAUAAUUAUGUUCACAUUUGAAUUUGACUUGGAAAACCCUGCAAGCAUAUAACGAGUAAUGUUUAAAAAUAAAAAAAUACAGGGUUUUCCAUUUCACUUUCGAAUGUAAACAUUUUUAUUCACCGCCUGCAAGAUGUUAAUUCACAUCAAUCUGACAUUUCAUUUCCAUCACAAUAAUUUUUAAUUACUCCAAUAUGAUUUUAAGCUGGAUUAAGUUUGACAGUUCUUUGUUAUGUGUUGAA